GACUUAGGACAAGCUUUCUAGCAUUUUAGUAUGCUAGGGACCUUAAAACUAUGGGGUGUCUAUCAGGAGAGUGACAGAGGACCAUAUUCAGCCGUUGGAGAGCGCCAGAUCAGAUUUAGUCCCAGCAUAUGAAGUUCUCCAACUCUACAUGCAUCAAACUUACAUGUGAUAUUAUUUACAUGUCUAAUCCUCUAUAUUUUGUUAAAGAGGAGAAAAAGUAUAUGUAGCUUUCAGAUCCAGAAUCCGUUCCUCAUCCAGACUGGAGCACCAUUCUGAAAAUUGUUCCCUGCUUUGCUGCUUUUUGCCUCUGGAGGUGCUGAUAGUUGAAAAUUGCAGCUAGAAGAACUCUCCAAUGACAAAAAAACAGAAACGCAUAGGCAUGAGGUUUGGUUAUGUGUACAUGUGGCACUAAGAUCAUUUUUGUCUGAGGAAGAACUUACAGAAGAAAAUAUUUCUUGUGAGGUAUUUGGAUAACAGCAAUAUUUUAAAAAUAGCAUUUCUGCAUCUUGCCUACUUGUAUACAGAUUUAACAAAGUGAUGAAUUAAACAUUAAUUCAAUAUUACACAAAUGUUGUCUAAUGAAAUUCAACAGGGCUAUGCCAGAUUUCAUUAAAAUGUGAAUUCACAAUUUCUAUAUACUUGUAUUGAAAAAUACCCAUGGCUUUCCCCCUUAAGAAUAAAGCAAGUGAGAUAGAAUGGAAGCAAGAAGAUACUGUAAUAAUAAUAAUAAUAAUAAUAAUAAUAAUAAUAAUAAUACUGUAACAACAACAACAACAACAGCAACAACAACUUUAUUCAUAUAUCCCGACCCACCACUAUCUCCCCGAAGAAACUCGGGGCGGCUUACAAAUGGCACAAAGUGCCUAAAAAUAAACAUAAAAGUGAACACAAUAUAAAAUACAGUAAAAUAAAAUACAUGCACAUAUAAAGGCAUCCAUUCAGACUCAAACAAAUGCGAUCUUCUAACCAUGGUGGUAAAUAACUGUAACCAUGGCCAGACUGUAAACAUUAGGAAUAAAAUAAGUGCCAGCUGCAGUAAUGGAGAGAAGACAUGAGAUAAAGUACAGGAUGUGCGACUCCUACGCAGGACAACUAGAGGCUAAAUAUUAUCAAAGACUUGACUGAAGGGCAACAUCUUCAAGUCCCUACGAAAAGAGGCCAGUGUGGGGGCCUGACUAAUCUCCCUGGGGAGAGAGUUCCAAAGUCGUGGGACCACCACCGAGAAAGCCCUCUCCCUCAUCCCCGCCAGCCGCACUUGUGACUGUGGUGAGACGAGAGGAGGGCCUCCCGGGCAGAUCUUAGAGCCCAUAUUGGUUCCUAGGGGGGGAUGUGGUCACGAAGAGGGAACUUACCUGAGAUUCAAUGCAUUGGAGAAAUAAGCCUUCAAAAUGUUCUACACAAGCCUUUAUAAAAAAAACUCAGGUUGAAUGUAGGGAAAUUGGUUUUUAUACUACUUUAUAUGUAUACCAUGCUAGCGGAAUAGAGUGGAUUAGUGUUCUGACUAUGAACUGGAGUAAUGAUUCCAUAGGCUCAUAAUUAUAGAGGAGAAAUAAAUACUAAAUUUGUCAUUUCAGAAAAUUCAUUUAAACAUCAUAUGUGAGGGGGGAAAAAACAUUGGGCUUGGCUUUGGAAGCCCCUAAUGCUAUCAUGGGUCACCACUAAGGAGAGAAAACUGCACGUGUAACUAGCCCCCCCCCCAACAAGAGGAUAGCCAAAGAUAUAUCUUCUGAAAAGAGAGGGGGAAUAAGUUUGAGCAUACAGAUAUGCAUAUCAAAUGAGUGCUUACUUAAAUGAAAUUAAGAAGGGAGAAGUGCCCAAGCCCACCUGUGCUGCCAUCAGCUGCAGAUGGUUUGAGUUAUUAGUUAGUUACAUCAUUUGUGCUUUCGUUUCCCACACUAGCAAAUGUAAAAGAUUACAUCAGUCUACGGAUCAGAGGGCCAAAGAAAUGUCUUUACAGUUCGUGGUGGUUCUAAUUAUAUUUGCUUUCUGUAGUUGCCCAUGAGCUGAAUUAAAAUUAUCUCUUGUGGCUUGUGAAUUACAUUAUUCCCCUCCCUGCCCAGAUGCAUACAUUUCUUCAAUUUUCUGCCAAUUUCCCAUGGGUUCUAUGUUCCAUGUGUCUGACUUCCAAUAUCAUUUUUUCCUGUUCUGAUGUUAUGGAAAAUUUAUUUUCUCAAAUUUAAAUGCAAAAUGGACCUAUUUCUUCUUUGUUUUAGAACACAGGAGAAGUAUGUUACUCCUUCAAUCUACACAUUAAUGGUCACAUUAAUUGGCAUUUUGAGAAAAAUGCACAGUGCUACCGAAGUGUGAAGUAUUCACAAUUCAGUUCUUAGACUAAACUCUUUUUGAAGUUCAGAAUACUCUGAAUGUGUGGCAUGCUGAAUUGAGAAAGUGAUUUAAUUGCAACGCAUUUAAAACUAACAAGGCUUUAUAGUGUUAGCUCGAGCUUUAGACAAAUGUUAAUUCCACUUAAUUGGUGAUGAAUUGCACAUGGAAUUAUCCCUGAAGCCUCCAUGUAGAUUUCAGCCUCAGAUUAGAAACCAUUCUAGUAAUAUCAUUAGGCGCCCUUCUGGCAAAUGCAGUAGUAAAAUAUAUUCAAAAUAGGGAGCAAUAAUUAAGCUGAAACUCUGUGUAGAGAUAAGAGUGCAAAGUAUUUGAAAGAAUACAAUGGGAAAGAAUUCUGAGCUUAUUGAGCGUGCUUCAGAAUAAAAGGUAGUAAUAAGUUCAAGCCUGAAGGAAUAGUGAAGACGUCUGAGGCAUAAUGGAAGGAGUAAAGAAAUAGGUUUUGAUUCUAGAUGUGUGGUCUUAAUUUUUAAUGAGGCUGUAUUGCCAGAACUCCCUUGUGUUAUCGGUGGACAGUCACGAAGUAGUUAAAGAAAGAGGGUCAAUGCUGUGUUUGUUGGCUGGAUAAUUUUGCUUUUCUCCAUUGUCCCAAACACAUACAAUCUUACAGGUUCAGCUAUCGGUGUUUGCUGAGCUUCUUUUUGCCAUCAUAUAAUAUAAAAGAAUUUUAAAAAGGAUUUUUUUUAAAAAAAGAAAA